CCUACGGGUGGCAGCAGUGAGGAAUAUUGGUCAAUGGCCGUAAGGCUGAACCAGCCAAGUAGCGUGAGGGAAGACUGCCCUAUGGGUUGUAAACCUCUUUUAUGCGGGGAUAAAGGUGUCCACGUGUGGAUGUUUGCAGGUACCGCAUGAAUAAGGACCGGCUAAUUCCGUGCCAGCAGCCGCGGUAAUACGGAAGGUCCGGGCGUUAUCCGGAUUUACUGGGUGUAAAGGGAGCGUAGGCGGGUCAUUAAGCGUGCCGUGAAAGUUUGCGGCUCAACCGUAAAAUUGCAAUUGAUACUGGCAGGCUUGAGUACAGUUGAGGUAGGCGGAAUUCGUGGUGUAGCGGUGAAAUGCUUAGAUAUCACGAGGAACCCCGAUUGCGAAGGCAGCUUACUAAACUGUGACUGACAUUGAUGCUCGAAAGUGUGGGUAGCAAACAGGAUUAGAUACCCCAGUAGUC
rnacentral:rRNA from 1 species